AUCUUGUCUGCGCCAUACUGUACACGUGGCUGGCACAAAGAGACGAUGGAGCUGCCGUUUUGAACAUGCCUAGUCCCAGUGUCUGAGGCGCAUGGCCCCGGGAGAGGAGGAGAAUGGGACGGUGGUUCAGAUCUGCUGAUGUAGCUGUGGUCAGUCACUGGGGAGAAUAGGCCUGUGGAUUUCUGCUCCUCUGAGAUGGAUCCAUCACUGACUACUGAACUUGUUUUCUCAUUGGCUCAACUUAAGAAGGUUCUAGAGGUUGUAUCUGUUUGCUCGGGAUGCCAUAACAAAGGACCACAGACUGGGGGGUUUAAACAGCAGAAGUUUACUUUCUCACAGUACUGGAGGCUGGAAGUCUGAGGUCAAGGUGCUGGCGGUGUCGGUUUCUCCUGAGCCCUCUCUCUUUUGCCGUCCUCUUUCAUUCAGUCCCAAUUGUGGGAAAUGAAGUUUUACAGCCAUGGAAGGGAAGAUGAAGGGAAGAAGCGGAGAAGACAGAUUUCUAUAGAUCACAAGGCAUUUUGGAUGCCAUAAAUAUGGUGGAUACCCUGUAGUUCUGCAGUGUCUUUCUUUAGGGAAUCUCAAGUGCCUACUCUCUAAUUUAGUCCGCUGUGUGGCUGUGGUCUUUAAGUUGGAGUCUGUGGAGACAAAGAGGGAGGUCUUGCUGUGCCUGACCCUCUGGGAUGUGUUACCACCCACGCCGACCUGCUCUCUGCGGCUUUCUGACAGCACCUCACAGCCCUGGAACUGGAAAUGUGGCUCUCACUGAAGCUGCCCAGAGAGAGGGUCUCUCAGUGAAGACCCCCUGUUGUCAGCUGGGGCAGCCGGAAAGAAAGACUGGGAAUUCUCUUCACACAGGAUUUGAUAUGCUUGGUGGCUCCAGAAAAAUGCAAGUGUGCACAUUCAUCCACUUGACAAAGGGUGACUUAACUGUCAGUGUCCUGUGGAUUCAAACUGAAAGGGUUUGGGCGAAAGAAAGAAGAAGGUGGGACUGCGAAUAAAUUGAAAACAGCAUUUUGGAGGCAACAGCUGUGAAACAGAAGGGAAGGAAAAUUUAUGACCAUAUACAUUUCAGUAGGAAUUUAUAACUUUUUAUGAACAUUAUCUUAAAGUUAGUCUCUAGACAUAGGUCUAAAAAUAAAAUUAUGCUGAACUGUGUACCCAGAGAAUGGUAAAUGGGAAUAACGUUCUUGAAAGGGAUGACGUAGGUCCAGGGAAAGGUCACAUUGAAUAAUCAAGGUCGGUGAAGGUCAAAAUCACAAAGAAGGACCCUGCAUUCACUCCUGUCCUGAUGGCAGCUUCAGUGGAAACCCUUGGCCAUCGCUUUGCCUCUCCAAGCAUUCGAGAAAGACCGUCUGGUGCCAUAUUGUCUUCUGGGGACAGCUGAUCACCUGGGGAGAGCUGCAUCGUGCUCCUACCCGUGUCAGAUCUGGGCAGAGGACAGACAAAAGUCCUCUGGAGUUUUCCGCAGUGAGAGUCACAGAAGUUCAUCUAAGGAAUUGGAGCCAAGGUUAGAAACUUCUCUGGAGAUGUUCUAGUUUUGUUUGCUAGCUCGGCAGCUGCGUAAUGACACUCCCUCCAGCAGGGCACAUAGUUCACUUCAAAUGACAAAUGGUGGGACCUUAGUAUUUUUCACUGUCGGUUAAUUAUCAGAAAUAGAUUUGUUGCUAUCUAGAUACCAGCCAUUUGUCCAAAUUACUAGGAUAAGAUUCCCAAGAAAGCCUGAAAUCAGAUAGCUUUCUCCUCCUUAUUUUAAAAUAAACAGAAAUAAAAUUAUUCUGCUACA
ensembl:lncRNA novel transcript, antisense to C7orf33 and CNTNAP2